UGAUUAGCUUUUUUCAUAAACAACCGAGUGUGUGGAAAUUCUCCUCCCAUUAGGUGCCCAUGGGAAUCUACUGUUGACAGAAAUUUUAUUUAUGUAUUUUUUGAAGCCAUCUUAAUGAAUCCUUAAACAUUGAAAUAACAUGGUCAGAUGUAGUGUACAGUGACUGUAGUAUUUGGGAAACAAAUGUGGGGUCAUCAAGUGUGAUCUCAGUUCAUGGGGCGUUCAAAUAUCAAAUGUUUUGACGAGCCUUUGUAAUAAAGUAGGUUUCGCAGCUAAAAAGGGUGCAAACGACAUUUCAAGAUUAAAAAAUGUGUACAAUCAAGUAGUUUGCGCAACAUAUGCGGCCCAUGGCAUGAGGAGGUAUUUAUGACCUUUUUGUGUCGACCAGGGUUAUCAAACUCAUUUCAAAUUGUGGGCCACAAACGGACUCGGUAGCUGUCAAGUGGUCCGGGCCAUUAACAUUGUACCAUACUCUACUAUAAAUAACCAAAAUAUGAUAUCUUUCCUUUGUUUUGGUAUAAACAAGCAUUGGUGGAUUGAUACCGUCUGAUGUGUUGGGUCGGUCUCAGUGACAGACUGAGACUACUGUUUUUAUUCUCUGAUCAAAACAAUGUUGUCUUCUCCUCUGAUCAAAACAGUGUACCCCCUAGCGGAUAAUCAACAAAUUGCAUUUUAAUAAAAAUAUUCAUUCCGUGUCUUUAACGCAUUUUUUCACUUUUAAAUUAUCCUGGGGGCCAGAUCGAACCUCCUUGGGGGCUGGUUUUGGUCUACGGGCCAUAUGUUUGACACCUCUGAGUGUAGACGAUAUAUUGAGCAAUCAUGAGUUCACUACAGCGUUAGCAUCGAUUGAGGACCCACAGGACAAAAGAAGCCCCAACAAGGGAUGCAACGAGAAGAACUUGAAAUAAGUUGUAACUUCAACUAAAGGGUUCACAUCCUCCACUGCUAAGGUUAGCUCGAGCGCACACAGGUUGUCACGCAUUGUUCUUAUCGUUUUAGAGUAUGUUGAAAAUUUUGAUGUAUAAAGUGCAUCUGAGAAGUGAUUUAUUUUCAUUAUUUCUUUAUUUUAUAUUCAUUAUUGGAGUAGAGUAUUUUUUUAAAAAGCUUUUCAGAACUGUCAAGGUUCUCAAACUUGAGUCCGUGUCUGGAAAAUUAUUGUGUCAAUUGUGUACAACUGGAGACGGGAGCUUCGGCGAUGAUAGAUAAAGAUUGAAUUCAAUGUGGUUAACUUCCAUUCUACUGUACAAAAGAACCGAUGAAUAUUUAUAUUGAAAUGUUCAAGUGAACCAUUUCAUAGUAUUUAUGGAUACACAAGAUUAUAUUUAACUGGCAUUCGGAUUAUGAAGGGGGUCCUUGGAAAAAUGUCUGCUAUUUAAGAGCUGCUCUAAUCUCAUUACACAAGAUUGCAAUUUAUUAAGAUUAUUUUGGAUCCUAUUACUUCUAAUCACUUCAGAUCCUGAAGAAAUUCAGAAUCCGGCUCUUUUGGUUUUUCAGAUCCAAAUUCAUGCAUUCAUUUUACAGCCUUGGUGUGCGCUCGGAUUACACUCGUAUUUGUUUUACAAAGUAGGAUAAUGUUUAUCUUGUUUCACCAUAGUGUCAAACUAUAGAACACUCUAUAAAAUAUGAGACUCCCAAAUGCUGAGAAACCAAAUUGAAACCAAGUGUAAGCCAAAAACGGAGACGUGUGUGUGCGCGUCUGUCUCUGCGGAGCAUCUGUUUGUUUAACUUUGCGGCCAGAGGAGGCUCAGACGUGGAAUAACUCCCGGCUAACUGUGCGACAUUAAAUUCCUCAGAAUUCCGUAGCGGUUUACUGGGAAGGUUUGAUGUGAGGAGGUAAGGCCGCCCUGAGGAUCAAAAUAAGAGUUCAAUACAUCUUUAUUUACACUGCGCAUUCAUAACAGCCGCAGCUGGAACAAAGCGCUUGACUUCCGAUUGUGUGGGAAUGUAGUGACUGAAAAUACAACUUCAAGUUGGGCCAGAUGCUCGAAGCCAGCGGCAUAAAAAAAAAACGUGGGUCUCAAAGAUCUACCAUCACGAGCAACAAUAGCAUACAGUUGCGUAGUAGGCCUAAA